CAAAGACACUACAAGGCAUUACAAGAUGGUACUUGAAGGAGAAACUAAAUUGAAUAAUUUGGUACACUAGACUGAGCACAUCUAAAUACAUACUGUAAUGAAACAGGCAGGGAGCAGGUCUCGAACCCUCGACCUUCUAGCCCGAGGUCGUUACAAUACUUUGUCAUGACGAUAUAACGAAUGGAUGUGUCCUAGACAAGUAUGCUCAUACCAUCGUUUGGAUGAUUUGGCGAUCUGGAGCGCAGAUUGUCUUGUCUCGUCAAGACUACCAGGAUGUUUUUCGUUCUCCUGUUUUCUUGAGCCCCUGUUUUCUAGUUUUCCUUGUUUUGCUAAUUCUGCCUGCCCUGAGCUUGCCUGCGGUUCUGUACCUUUUGACACUGCCCUGGAUUACUGACAUCUGCCUGCCCUGACCCUGAUCCUGCCUGCCACUCUGUACCUUACGGACUCUGCCCUGGACUACCAACCUCCGCCUGCCUUGACCUGUUGUUUGCCUGCCCCUGGUUUAUAAUAAACAUCUGUUAUUCGAA